GGUUGCGAUCAUACCAGCACUAAUGCACCGGAUCCCAUCAGAAUUCCCCAGUUAAGCGUGCUUGGGCGAGAGUAGUACUAGGAUGGGUGACCCCCUGGGAAGUCCUCGUGUUGCAACCC
rnacentral:rRNA from 1 species